GCCAACGUUCAUAUCACGUUGAAUACACCAGUUCUCGUCCGAUCACUGAAGUUAAGCGACGUUGAGCGUGGAUAGUACUUGGAUGGGUGACCGCUUGGGAACACCACGUAACGUUGGUA
rnacentral:rRNA from 1 species